UACGGGGGGGGCAAGCGUUGUUCGGAAUUACUGGGCGUAAAGGGCUCGUAGGCGGCCAACUAAGUCGGACGUGAAAUCCCCAGGCUCAACCUGGGAACUGCGUCCGAUACUGGAUGGCUUGAAUUCGGGAGAGGGAUGCGGGAUUCCAGGUGUAGCGGUGAAAUGCGUAGAUAUCUGGAGGAACACCGGUGGCGAAGGCGGCAGCCUGGACCGGUAUUGACGCUGAGGCGCGAAAGCCAGGGGAGCAAACGGG
rnacentral:rRNA from 1 species